AGCAAAUAGAUACCCCGUGGUAGUCCCAGCUAGUAAACCGACGCAGACUCCGGUGAUGAAUUGGCUUAUUGCUAAAUCAGUGCCGCAGGGAAGCCGUUAAGUUUGCCGCCUGGGGAGUACGGUCGCAAGACUGAAACUUAAAGGGAAUUGGCGGGGGAGCACCACAAGGGGUGAAGCCUGCGGUUCAAUUGGAGUCAACGCCGGAAAUCUUACCGGGGGCGACAGCAGAGUGAAGGUCAAGCUGAAGACUUUACCAGACAAGCUGAGAGGAGGUGCAUGGCCGUCGCCAGCUCGUGCCGUGAGGUGUCCUGUUAAGUCAGGUAACGAGCGAGAUCCCUGCCUCUAGUUGCUACCAUUAUUCUCAGGAGUAGUGGAGCUAAUUAGAGGGACCGCCGUCGCUGAGACGGAGGAAGGUGGGGGCUACGGCAGGUCAGUAUGCCCCGAAACCCUCGGGCCACACGCGGGCUGCAAUGGU
rnacentral:rRNA from 1 species